rnacentral:rRNA from 1 species
GAUGAACGCUGGCGGCGUGCCUAAUACAUGCAAGUCGAGCGAACAGACGAGGAGCUUGCUCCUCUGACGUUAGCGGCGGACGGGUGAGUAACACGUGGAUAACCUACCUAUAAGACUGGGAUAACUUCGGGAAACCGGAGCUAAUACCGGAUAAUAUAUUGAACCGCAUGGUUCAAUAGUGAAAGACGGUUUUGCUGUCACUUAUAGAUGGAUCCGCGCCGCAUUAGCUAGUUGGUAAGGUAACGGCUUACCAAGGCAACGAUGCGUAGCCGACCUGAGAGGGUGAUCGGCCACACUGGAACUGAGACACGGACCAGACUCCUACGGGAGGCAGCAGUAGGGAAUAUUCCGCAAUGGGCGAAAGCCUGACGGAGCAACGCCGCGUGAGUGAUGAAGGUCUUCGGAUCGUAAAACUCUGUUAUUAGGGAAGAACAAAUGUGUAAGUAACUAUGCACGUCUUGACGGUACCUAAACAGAAAGCCACGGCUAACUACGUG